GCCACAUCGCAUUGAAACACCAGUUUCCAUAUGAUCAUCAAAGUUAAGCAAUGCUGAGCCUGGUCAGUGCCUACAUGGGUGACCACUUGGGAAUACCAUGUUCUGUAAG